GACCAGCUUGGUUAAAGUUUUCAAAAAGAAACUAGUAGCAGUCUUGCAAUUUGUGACCCUGCAAGAUCCCCAGUCUUUACAUAUUAUGACAAUAUGUCAGCAACGUGA